UCCGAAGGGUAUACUAUGUUGCUCAGAUCAUCCAAAAAUGUUAACACACCAGUGUCAGAUCCUCCAAACGCACAAUUUUUGUAGGAUCUGACACACACUAGUGUUAUUUUUUAGGAGUCUGAGCAACAUAUAUGUAGAAUAAAGCUAUCCUAGAGACCCUGAGUUAGCAUUUUCCUUUGUUCCUUCACAACGCGAUAAACCAUACUAUUUGACGAAGAAUAAAUACCACUCAUAUAAUACGAGUGUUACAUCUAUGUAUCAUUAUAAUUUAUCAUGACCUGCAUUUUUAUUGAUGUAUGUAUGAG
rnacentral:misc_RNA from 1 species